GGGGAAUAUUGCACAAUGGGCGAAAGCCUGAUGCAGCAACGCCGCGUGAGCGAUGAAGGCCUUCGGGUCGUAAAGCUCUGUCCUAAGGGAAGAAUUUUGACGGUACCUUAGGAGGAAGCCCCGGCUAACUACGUGCCAGCAGCCGCGGUAAUACGUAGGGGGCAAGCGUUAUCCGGAAUCACUGGGCGUAAAGGGUGCGUAGGCGGCUUUACAAGUCAGGGGUGAAAGGCUACGGCUCAACCGUAGUAAGCCUUUGAAACUGUAGAGCUUGAGUGCAGGAGAGGAGAGUGGAAUUCCUAGUGUAGCGGUGAAAUGCGUAGAUAUUAGGAGGAACACCAGUGGCGAAGGCGACUCUCUGGACUGUAACUGACGCUGAGGCACGAAAGCGUGGGGAGCGAAC
rnacentral:rRNA from 1 species